GGCCUUCUAUGGGAAGAAAAAUCCACUGCUUUGUGAGACCCAAUGGCUGCAAGCAAAUGAAUGAAGGGAAGAGUUACGUGCAAAGUUGAUGAAACCCACUAGAAAAUGCCAGACAAGAUUGAAGAACCCCUCUCAAAGCCUGAUAAUAUUCAGAUUACAGUGGAAGCACAAAUAUGGCAAAGAAACAAAAUUGGAAACCCCCUCUGUCGAAGCCUGAUAAUAUUCAGAUUGCAGUACAAGCACAGAAAUAGGCAAAGAAACAGGAUGCACAGGAAUGGACUCUGGGCAUCAACCUUCGAAACUUUCCAAAUCUAAUCCUCUUAACUGCCAUCCAUCCAACAAACAAAAUCACACUGGGAUGAUACCUUAGUUGCGCGGACUCUCCACUUUUAAUGCCGCACCCGUGUCGGAUUCUCCAAAAACACACUACAUUUGGCGAAUCCGACACGCACCCGUUGACAUUUUGAAGAGUCCGAGCAGCAACAUAGGGUGAUACAACAAAUGGAAAGCAGAAUAAAACACACACUGGUUGAAAAUAUAACCAUUAUUGAGAACUUCCACACAACAGUAGUUUUGACAAAGAGAAAAGGGUCCCACUUAUCAAGAAAAAAACUGAACUGGAGUUCAUUCUGUAGAAGACCCAACAGUUGCAUGCACAAAAAUAACAAAACAGGUAGGUGUAAAACAUGGGAAACUCAUACCACACAGCAAGACAACUAGAGAUGCCAAACAAUAUAACAUUGCAAAGGGACCAUUUCUUGAAGCGUCUGGUGAUAUCCUACCAUCCAGAUUGCAGUGCAAGCACCAGAAUGGCAAGAAAUAGGGUUCACAGGGCACAUCGAAACCAAAUUACAAAAUUUAAUCUUAUCCUCCUACUAUCAUCAUAUCAGCACCAUGUGGCCUACAAACAUUCAUCCAACCAAACUAAAUCAACUGGUAAGCUAAAUGAAAGCAAAGGAGGUAAGCAGCGAGAACAUGAAAAUAAAGGUGUUGCAGGGCUAUCAAAAGAUCCAAGACUGAGUUUGAAUACAUUCAUCGACUGUCCAUAACCAUGGAGAUCUCAUCAGUUGGAUCACUAACAAGCAUAAGCAUCUGGAUUACUUUAAAAAAUGGCAACAAAAUACGCAAUAGUGAAGCAGUGUUGACAAAGAGAGAAGGGAACCAUUCUGAUUACAGAAGAAAACUGAAUUGAAGAUCUCAAUAAUCAUUAAAGCAUCGACAAAAAAACCUCAACACAAAUUGACAGACAAGGCCGCUCCAUGAAAAGAAGAAUCUACAGCUUUGAAAGACCCAACAGCUGCAAGCACAGAAAGAAUGGAAUACUUUUAAGUGCAAAGUUGGUGAAGCCCGUACCACCUAGAAUUCACUAGAAAUGCAAGACAAGAUUGAGAACCGCCUUCUUUCAAAGCCUCUGAUAGUAUGAAGAUUGUAGUGCAUGCACUAACAUGCCAAGAAACAGGGUGCACGGGAUGCACACUGUACACCAACCUUCAAAAUCCUCCAACAAGUCUGAUCCCCUCAACUUUCACCAUACAUCCAUCCAACAAACAAAAUCAAGCUGGCGUAAUACAAGAAAAAGGAAGCAGAAAAAAUGAGCAGCGAGAACACCAAAAGAGAGGACCAUUUAUGAGGCUUUCAAGAGAUCCAAAUUGAGAUCUUGUCAGGUGUCCAUAAGACCAUAACCAUCAACCAUCUGGAGUCUCAUCAGUUGGAUAAUUAAAGAAAAGAAGCAUCUCGACAAAAAACCAAUAUGACAGUAGAAUAUGACACACACUAGUGAAAAACAAAAACUAUUUUAGAUGAAAAUCCCAGUACUCAUAAAAGCCUGAGGCAACCUCAACAUGUAUGGACAAACAACGCCACUCCAUGAAAAGAAUAAUUCACUGCUCUGUAAGACCCAAUGGCUGCAGGCACAAAAAGAAGGGUACAAUCAAGACCAACGUUGACGAAACCCACACCAACUAAGAAAUCACUAGAGAUGAGAUUUAGACAAGAUUUAAAAACCCUUCUUUGUUGAAGCCUUGACCAAUAUAUCCAGAUUGCAAUGCAAGAACCAAAGAGAC
rnacentral:lncRNA from 1 species